GUGGUUCCGCGCCGACAAUGUAGCGGGGCUCAAGCACACCACCGAAGACGCGGCAGUAUUUUGUACUGGGUAGGAGAGCGUCCCAUGAGGGGCGAAGCGGCCGUGUGAACGCGCCGUGGACUUCAUGGGAGUGAGAAUGCAGACAUGAGUAGCGAGAGACGGGUGAAGAUCCCGUCCGCUGGAUGACCAAGGGUUCCAGGGCCACGUUCAUCGUCCCUGGGUGAGUCGGGUCCUAAGGCGAGGCCGACAGGCGUAGUCGAAUGGAUGAACGGGUCGAUAUUCCCGUACCGGCUUUCAGCCGCCAAAACCGAGGCUUGGAGUACUAACCUCCGGGUCCGGGCUUACUGCUCCUUCGGGGGCGGGAUGCCCUGGCCUGUUGGGACCGAUCCUUGUAGUAGGUCAGCGCAGGAGUGACGCAGAAGGGUAGCCGGCCGCGGAGGUGGUCUUCCGUGGUCAAGCACGCAGGGCGUGGGACAGGCAAAUCCGUCCCGCAUGGGUCCGAGGUGCGAUGAUGGGGGCCUUAUGGCCCGAUAUCCGGUGAUCCCGGCUGCCGAGAAAAGCUUCGGCGUCAGGCUCGAAGCCGCCCGUACCCCAAACCGACACUGGUGGUCAGGUAGAGAAUACCAAAGCGAUCGAGCGAAUCCUGGUCAAGGAACUCGGCAAAUCACUCCCGUGCCUUCGGUAUAAGGGAGACCCCCGGGCGUGAAGAGGCUUGCCCUCGGAGCGUUGGGGGGUGGCACAGACCAGGGGGUAGCGACUGUUUACCAAAAACACAGGUGCAUGCGAAGGCGCAAGCCGCUGUAUAUGCACUGACGCCUGCCCGGUGCCGGAAGGUUAAGAGGAUCCGUCAGCCCCUUUUGGGGUGAAGCGGUGAAUUCAAGCCCCGGUAAACGGCGGUGGUAACUAUAACCAUCCUAAGGUAGCGAAAUUCCUUGUCGGGUAAGUUCCGACCUGCACGAAUGGCGUAACGACUUCCCCACUGUCUCGACCAGGAGCUCGGCGAAAUUGCAGUACGAGUAAAGAUGCUCGUUAAGCGCAGAAGGACGAAAAGACCCCGGGACCUUUACUAUACCUUGGUAUUGGCGUUAGGCGCGGAUUGUGUAGCAUAGGCGGGAGGCUUCGAAGCGCGGGCGCCAGCCCGUGUGGAGCCGCAAGGUGAAAUACCGCUCUGUUCUCGUUUGACGUCUCACCUCGAACAGUCAUCCUGUUCAGGGACAGUGCCUGGCGGGUAGUUUAACUGGGGCGGUUGCCUCCCAAAGAGUAACGGAGGCGCUCAAAGGUCCGCUCAGCCCGGUUGGCAAUCGGGUUUCGAGUGUAAUCGCACAAGCGGGCUUGACUGCGAGAACGACGGUUCGGGCAGGGACGAAAGUCGGAGAUAGUGAUCCGGUGCCGGCGCACGGGCGCGGCAUCGCUCAACGGAUAAAAGGUACCCCGGGGAUAACAGGCUGAUCAUUCCCAAGAGUCCAUAUCGACGGGAUGGUUUGGCACCUCGAUGUCGGCUCGUCGCAUCCUGGGGCUGGAGCAGGUCCCAAGGGUUCGGCUGUUCGCCGAUUAAAGCGGCACGCGAGCUGGGUUCAGAACGUCGUGAGACAGUUUGGUCUCUAUCCUCUGCGCUCGUUGGAAUGCUGAGGAGGCCUGCCCAUAGUACGAGAGGACCUGGGUGGACGGACCUCUGGUAUGCCGGUUGUCGCGCCAGCGGCAUGGCCGGUUGGCUACGUUCGGGAGGGAUAACCGCUGAAAGCAUCUAAGCGGGAAGCCUGCUCCAAGAUUAGGAUUCCUUGACGCUCCCCGGAGCGCCUGUAGCCCGCAUGUGGAACACGUGUUCGAUAGGCCGGAGGUGGAAGCCCCGCGAGGGGUGGAGCCGACCGGUACUAACGGGCGAACGCGGCACACU
rnacentral:rRNA from 1 species